rnacentral:rRNA from 1 species
GAUGAACGCUGGCGGCGUGCCUAAUACAUGCAAGUCGAGCGAACGGACGAGAAGCUUGCUUCUCUGAUGUUAGAGGCGGACGGGAGAGUAACACGUGGAUAACCUACCUAUAAGACUGGGGUAACUUCGGGAAACCGGAGCUAAUACCGGAUAAUAUUUUGAACCGCAUGGUUCAAAAGUGAAAUACGGUCUUGCUGUCACUUAUAGAUGGACCCGCGCUGCAUUAGUUAGUUGGUAAGGUCACGGCUUACCAAGGCAGCGAUGCAUAGCCGACCUGAGAGGGUGGUCGGCCACCCGGGCAGUGAGACGCGGUCCCGACUCCUACGGGAGGCAGCAGUAGGGACUCUUCCGCAAUGGGCGAGAGCCUGACGGAGCACCGCCGGGUGAGUGGUGAAGGUCUUCGGAUCGUAAAACUCUGUUAUUAGUGAAGAACAUAUGUGUAAGUAACUGUGCAGAUCUUGACGGUACCUAAUCAGAAAGCCCCGGCUAACUACGUG